rnacentral:misc_RNA from 1 species
GAUGAAGAACGUAGCGAAAUGCGAUAAGUAAUGUGAAUUGCAGAAUUCAGUGAAUCAUCGAAUCUUUGAACGCACCUUGCGCCCCUUGGCAUUCCGAAGGGCAUGCCUGUUCGAGCGUCAUGAUCAAAUCUCAAGCCUUGCUUGGUAUUGGGUUUUCGUCUCUCUCGUCUUUGCUACGGGUAUUGACGUGCCUGAAAAUCAAUGGCAGUGCCUUAUUAGACUCAAGCGUAGCAAACUGACACGCUUUAGAGAACUUUUGUAGGUCCUGUCAAUAAAAUAAUAAGUUGGACCUCGGAUCAGGUAGGGAUACCCGCUGAACUUAAGCAUAUCAAUAAGCGGAGGA